UUAACAGGGGGAAGCUUUCAUCAGCUGUUAAUCUGUUUGGUUUGAACAGCCAUCUCCUGAAUAUCUGAAUCUUAAAAGCUAUCUACCACUGAGAUGAAUGGUUGUGAAGAUGUCUCCUUGUUACUGAAUGAAGAACAAGGGACAUGUGGUAGCUGGAAUGUGAAGACACCUCAAGUGUGUAGGAGAAAAUAAACGGAAUAAUAAGCUGGUUUGCAUAAAAAUCUGAGCUACCUGAGAAAGUCUAGAUGGAUUCAAGGGACAUCAGUUCUAGAAAACAACAACUUAUGGAGGUGAUCACUAUUAGGAAAACCACCUUCACUAAAAAGCAUUAAACUAAUAAGUAGCAUUACUCUCUCAGUUCAUUAGCUUAGUCUGCCUGUUGAAAUAUCCAAAUCUCAUGAAAUGCAAACAGCAGGUAUAGAUCUAAUGCCAAAUGCACGAAGAUUGUCCUGAUCUGUUGUAUCACAUCAGUAUUUUACAUACUGAUGUAAAAAAACAGUGCAAUUAUGCUGCCUGAUUUCCUGUAGUAGUAGAUGGGUAAGACAAGCAGCUAGGACAGGCAGGCUGCUGAGCUCCAGGAUAGCCAGAUACAGACUACAGUCUGCUGGGAACUAAGCUGUCUCCAUGACAACUGAUCUGAACAGGGGGAAAGACCAGAGGGUACAAAUUUUGGUUUUCUCCUGCAGUCGUUUCAAGGAACUUCCAGACAGCAAGGGAUGCAAACUGCUAGUCUCUGGCACAAGUACAUGCCUUCAGGAUGAACAGAAAAUUUCUAUAUGAGAUCUGUCAAAUUAACAGGAGUUUAAGAAAGAUGAAGACAAACUGGAGAGGGUCCAGUGUAGAGCAACGACAACAGUAAGAGAGAGAGCAAAACCAAUGAGAAAGGACUGUUAGAACUGGGUUUGAGUUACAAGACAGACAGAACUGAUGAUGUAAGAAAAAGUCUAAAAAAAAAAAAUCAGUGCCAUCCUUCCGAAACCCGGUGCUGGCUAAAGGAAGGGCGAGGGGAUCCAACUGCCCACGAGAGGGCGGCUGCACACUCCUGUACUCGCCCCCUGAACACCCCCGGGCUGCUCAGAGGAACGCUCCUUAUGUCCCUCAUGGUAUUAAUUCCUGUUACGGUAUUUCUGAAAGCACAGGCAUGUGAGGAGGCUAAAUCAAAACAAGUAUUCAAGCCCAGAAGACUUGUGUAUGAAAACUUUGCCAACAUUAUGCCAAGCAGGUUCUUUACAUUUCUUGCUCCGAUGCUUAUCGUUUGGAUUCUUUGGGUGGCUUUGCUGUUUACGGAUGGAAAACAUUGAAACAACUAUAACCGACGUCUCAUUUACAAGCAGUUAUGCAAGGUAGAAAGACAAAGCAUACAGGAGUGUAUUGACUGCAGAGUUGCUGAACACAAUUAUCCCUGCAAACCUGCCCAAAGGAAUUGCUUACCAUCCUUGAAAAGUUAAUGUACUCCAGCUGGCUUCUACUUUGCACAAGAAAGGGUCAUCAAUUCAGUUUGUGAAUGUUUUCUUAAUGGAUGGUGCAAAUGAAGUUAAGGGAUUCUGCUGGGUAUGAGCUGUCACUGCAAAGAUGCAUUCUUCUUAAACAGGUAAAAGCAAUGAUAACCAAAAAGUACUUGUAACGACAUAAAAAGAAAAGCUCUCUGAAAGGGCUUUGUUUUCCUAACUCUUCCAUUGUUGCUUUAAUUUGCAGAAUUCUUUCCUCCUUUUAACAUACAUGAAAGCAAAAAAAGAAAUGUCAUGAAAGCAAUUUUUUUUCCCUGUCUUUCUUACAAAAUCAUAAAAAAAGAGCUGGAAGGGCCUUCAGAAGUAACCUCACUGAUUCAAGUCAGGAACAUUUUACUUUAGCAUGUAUUUGUCUCUGGUUGGUAGCCUGGAAUCAGAUUAACUGACUGAUUGAUGCCAGUUCUUAACUUUGCAAUUGCAAAAUACUUGUAGAACUAACAGCUGUCAUUAAAGUACUUUUGCUCCUGGCAUAAGAAUACAAAAGAAAUCUUCUCUUCAAGGUAGUCAGUCAGAAUUACAGGAAAAGAUUGCAUCAAAUACAUUUAUUUUCUUGUUAGUGUUAACAAGUUUCAUGUAUGAAGGCUUCCUGAACCAAAUAAUCACGGAUUUGAAUGUAUAUGCGUCCAAAUAAAGAAAAAAUGUUCAAACAAAAUUGUAUUAAUUCUAAGUAAAAGGAGACAUAAGGGUUAGAAAAUAAUUAAAGGCAGAAUGGAAUGCAUCAUUAGCAGAGAUAAUACCGUUUGUUAUUACUCUGCUUGAAGCAGCAUUAAAAUCUGACUCUAGACACACUGUACAUAUACUGAGGCGGCCUACUGAAAUAACAGAAAACGCUGCUUUAUUACUAUAGAAUUGAGGCCUUCAGUAUUUUCUGCCUCUGAAGUCAGAAUCUUGUGUACACAUAGAUAAGGAGAAUUUUAUCACACAAACUACUACUGCCAGAAAAGCCUCUUCCACGAAGGUCGAACAUCAACCUAGGAAAAUGAACUUUGCGUCUCAGGAUGAUCAUGGAGCGGCAGAGCAGAUGCCUUUGAAGAGACAGCUUCCUACAGUAUUUUUGUGGCAACCACACCUCUGACUGUGCCAGCAAGUAUGUUUCUUCUGUAUUUGACCACUAGCACAAUUAUUACCGUGUAGUACAAUCCAGUACCCUGAACUUUACUGAGUUUGUUCCCCUGCUGUUACAAACACCAUGUGUAUAAUUUCUUCUGUAAACUUACUAAAUUCCAUAUACGCU